UGGGCUUGUUUGGGACUCUCACCGGAAAGAGACACGCCGAUGACGUAACGGAAGUUGGCCGCGGGAUAGGCACCGCCUCCUGUCACGUGACCCGGAAAUAGUUAUUUUAACGCGCUUGGUUUCAAAGCAGGAAUUGUUGGGACCGCUAACUAAAGGAGUAAAACAUAAUUGUGUUUUUAACACGGACGUAUUAAGUGCAUCGGUAUCCAAAGUGCGGACCGCUGGUAAUUUUUAAUGCAGAAGUCAAAGUAGAAAGAUGGCGGUGGCAAGCUUUUAGCCUUAAGCCACACAAACACAGCCGGUGUUUCCUUGUUUAAAAUUCUCAAAGGUGACGCUUUACUAUGGAACAGAGCGGUCAAGCGAACAUGGAUCCCGACCACAUGUCAACCAGCAGUUUUCGGUGAGAAAAUUGUGGUAAUAAGUCGGCUCUUACCAGGGACAUCAGCGGAGCUUCCGUCCUGCUGCAGCUGCUGCGACUUCCCUCAGAGACUCUGGCGUCAACACACCCGUGGCCACACCCGUCCGACUUUCAGAUCGGCGGAGCCAACUUCCUCCUGCAGCUUCGUGACUUCCCUCAGAGACUCUGGUGUCAACACACCCGUGGCCACACCCGUCCGACUUUCAGAUCGGCGGAGCCAACUUCCUCCUGCAGCUUCGUGACUUCCCUCAGAGACUCUGGCGUCAACACACCCGUGGCCACACCCGUCCGACUUUCAGUUUCACCUACAGGAAUUUUAAACAAGGAAUCACCGUGGCUAAAGCUUCCCAACUCCAUCUUGCUACUGUGACUUCUCCAAUAUUAAUGGAACAAAUUGCAAAAGAUUCAGCAACACAGAUGUCCAAAAUACUGUGUAAUUAUGCCGUUAAAGCAGACGACUUUUAGCUGUGUGUGUGCGCAGCGCUCAUACUUCCUAAAAACCAGUGACGUCUUGCGUAAACGUCAUCAUUACACAACGUUUCGAAGAAGAAACUCCCGGGAAAUUUAAAAUUGCAAUUUAGUAAACUAAAAAGGCCGUAUUGGCAUGUGUUGCAAUGUUAAUAUUUCAUCAUUGAUAUAUAAACUAUCAGACUGCGUGGUCGCUAGUAGUGGCUUUCAGUAGGACUUUGAAGGUGUACUGAAAUGAGAUGUUCUUAUUUAAACGGGGAUAGCAGGUCCAUUCUAUGUGUCAUACUUGAUCAUUUCGCGAUAUUGCCGUAUUUUUGCUGAAAGGAUUUAGUAGAGAACAUCGACGAUAAAGUUUGCAACUUUUAAUCGCUAAUACAAAAGCCCUGCCUUUACCGGAAGUAUGUGCGCGUGAAGUCACGAGUUGCAGGGCUCCUCACAUUGUUUAUAAUGGGAGCCACCAGCAGCGAGAGCAAUUCGGACCGAGAAAGCGACAAUUUCCCCAUUAAUUUGAGCGAGGAUGAACGAUUUGUGAAUUAGGAUAUUGAUAGUGAAGGACUAGAAGAAGAAAAAAAAAGCGACGGCUUCGGGGUGCGGCAGUGUGAGCGUUUCAGAUGUUAUUAGACACAUUUAAUAGGAUAAUUCUGGAAGAUCCCUUAUCUGCUUAUUGUUUUAAUAGUGUUUUAGUGAGAUUCUAUAGACAUACCUGAAAGUCGGAUGGCUGUGGUGAACGCCAGUGUCUCUCAGAGAAGCCAAGAUCACAGCUGCCUUUUUGAGCUGCAGGAGGAAGUCCCAUAAUCCAACUGUUAUGUAUUACACAUUUUUUGCCGUAAAAGUUUCUAUUUAUAGUAUAUAAAAAUUCACGAUUCUAUUAAAUUUUUGUAUUUUUUUUUUUAUUAGUAUAUAUAAUUAUAUAAAACACACAAUUGUUAUGUCUGACAUGUUUUGCUGGGAAAGCUUCUAUUUAUAGUAUAUAAAU